rnacentral:RNase_P_RNA from 2 species
CGAGCCGGGCGGACGGCCGCGUGAAGUUCCCGCGAGGGACUUCCCGAGGAACGUCCGGACUCCACAGGGCAGGGUGGUGGCUAACGGCCACCCGGGGUGACCCGCGGGACAGUGCCACAGAAAACAGACCGCCGGGGACCUCGGUCCUCGGUAAGGGUGAAACGGCGGUGUAAGAGACCACCAGUGCCCAGGGUGACCUGGGCAGCUAGGUAAACCCCACCCGGAGCAAGGUCAAAAGGAGACACCCCGGUGUCUCUGCGCGGACGUUCGAGGGCUGCCCGCCCGAGUCCGCGGGUGGACCGCACGAGGCCGGCGGCAACGCCGGCCCUAGAUGGAUGGCCGUCUCCCCGGCCGCCGCGAGGCGACCGGGCGACAAAAUCCGGCGUACAGCCCGACUCGUCUG